rnacentral:lncRNA from 1 species
AACAUGGUUUACUUUUAGAUCAUUUGAUAAUGUGGAUUGUAACAAUACUAAACCAUGAAGAAAACAAAACAGAACUUAAAUUUUUUCUAUAAUUAUCUAGUUUUAUCCAGAGCUGUGUACUAAAAUACUGUUCGAGUUUCAGCAUAGUCAUAAUAUACAACAAAAUACUUCGAUAUUCUACAAUUUUUCUGCCUGGCUAUUUUGUUGAAGAACCUGUCCUGAAAUGGCAGCUGCAAGUGCUAAUUUGAAAUUGGGAUCUUGUGUUAAGGUGGAAGCCAUUUGUUCCACCAGAUACUGUUGGAAUUGUGUACCCAUUUUCCGGAUUGAAUCAGUAGCUGGCUUUGGUUUUGUAAGAUCAAGUGUAAUGGUCUGCGCAGACGAGUUUAGAGAGGUCGUCGAGCAAGGGACCGUGCUAAGUGUUACCACCCGGCUGGAGCUAGAAGCUUGCUCGGGUUUCAAGUGGGGAGGAUGGUUGUGCUCUCCUUCAUAAGUUGCUACAAGAAUAGACUGAUCCUUUAUACUUCUUUGAACCUGCAUAAAGACCAUGUAACAAACAAUUACAAAUAAAAAAAUCUUGAGAAAAUUGAAGAAAUUCAAGAACUGUUGAAAAG